AGAACGAACGCUGGCGGCAUGCCUAACACAUGCAAGUCGAACGAGACCUUCGGGUCUAGUGGCGCACGGGUGCGUAACGCGUGGGAACCUGCCCUUAGGUUCGGAAUAACGUCUCGAAAGGGGUGCUAAUACCGGAUAAUGUCUUCGGACCAAAAAUUUAUUGCCUUUGGAUGGGCCCGCGUUGGAUUAGCUUGUUGGUGGGGUAAAGGCCUACCAAGGCGACGAUCCAUAGCUGGUCUUAGAGGAUGAUCAGCCACACUGGGACUGAGACACGGCCCAGACUCCUACGGGAGGCAGCAGUGGGGAAUAUUGGACAAUGGGCGAAAGCCUGAUCCAGCAAUGCCGCGUGAGUGAUGAAGGCCCUAGGGUUGUAAAGCUCUUUACCCGGGAUGAUAAUGACAGUACCGGAGAAUAAGCUCCGGCUAACUCCGUAGCCAGCAGCCGC
rnacentral:rRNA from 1 species